rnacentral:rRNA from 1 species
UACGUAGGGUCCGAGCGUUGUCCGGAAUUACUGGGCGUAAAGAGCUCGUAGGUGGUUUGUCGCGUUGUUCGUGAAAACUCACAGCUCAACUGUGGGCGUGCGGGCGAUACGGGCAGACUAGAGUACUGCAGGGGAGACUGGAAUUCCUGGUGAUAGCGGUGAAAUGCGCCAGAUAUCAGGAGGAACACCGGUGGCGAAGGCGGGUCUCUGGUCCGGUACUGACGCUGGAGGUGCGAAAGCGUGGGGAGCAAACAGG